CCUACGGGAGGCAGCAGUGAGGAAUAUUGGUCAAUGGCCGUAAGGCUGAACCAGUCAAGUCGCGUGAAGGAAGAAGGAUCUAUGGUUUGUAAACUUCUUUUAUAGGGGAAUAAAGGUAUCCACGUGUGGAUAUUUGCAUGUACCCUAUGAAUAAGCAUCGGCUAACUCCGUGCCAGCAGCCGCGGUAAUACGGAGGAUGCGAGCGUUAUCCGGAUUUAUUGGGUUUAAAGGGUGCGUAGGUUGUUUUUUAAGUCAGCGGUGAAAGUUUGUGGCUCAACCAUAAAAUUGCCGUUGAAACUGGAAGACGUGAGUGUGUUUGAGGUAGGCGGAAUGCGUGGUGUAGCGGUGAAAUGCAUAGAUAUCACGCAGAACUCCGAUUGCGAAGGCAGCUUACUAAGCCAUAACUGACACUGAAGCACGAAAGCGUGGGGAUCAAACAGGAUUAGAUACCCGGGUAGUC
rnacentral:rRNA from 1 species